rnacentral:sRNA from 1 species
CUCUCUCUCUCUCUCUCUCUCUCUCUCUCUCUCUCUCUUUUCCCUGUUGGUGAGGACAAUAAUAGCAUGCCCACAUACCCAAUAUCAUCUUUUCUGCUAGUUUGCUGGCUGAAAUCAGCUGCACUCCGAAUCGACGAUUGAAUUAUUGAUACUAAAAGAAAACCCCACACAAACAAGCAACCCGGAUAAAUGAGGGGACAUAGGAGCAGCAAGAGCACAGUACAAGUCGAAAAUAAAACACGCCUCCAGUUAUACUAGGAAGAGACAUGGGGAUGCAACAGUGCCGCUCCGCUGGCUGGCCAAAUGGUACUGUAAAUUGGCUCGCGGGGUUGGAAAAAGCCCAAACACACCACCGACGUGUCCCAUACCAUAACAUGUAAGUAAGUGUAUGGAAGUGUGUAGUAUGUAUAACUGCCAGUGCGUAUGUUGGAGUUGAUCAAUGUCAAAUCGCCAGUUUGGGGCUGUAUUUAUAUUUAUCAGUAAAUAGGAAAUGUUGAUGCGCUUGUGAAUAGAGAAGUGUUGUUAAAUAGAGCA